CUUGCCUAAACUACAGUAUGUUGCUGUUUUCUAAGUUAACUAUCAGUUUAGUAUUUAAACCUGAUAAUAUGUAUUUAAGAAGACAGAAGAUAGAGAGGUUCUGCUUUGCCUUGUACUAUUACAGGUUGCAAAGGAACACAAAGUUGAAUUUUGGUUUGGCAGUUGAAAAGAAUUUCUCUUCACUUUUGAUCAUGUGAAGCCACCAACAUAGGGAAGGAAAUUACGAGACAAGUAUGGAGUUACUGUUACAGUUACUCAUUCUCAUUAGGAACAAAUUUUGAGAAGCAUCAGCUGGACUGCUCUGAGCUUUGAGUAACAGUUUUUCAAAAUCCUUUAGGUCUACAUCAACGUUCAUUUUGGAGACUCUAAAAGAGACCUGCUCCAUGAAAUGGUUCUUGGAAGCGCUAACACUAGUGUAUGGUUGAACAAGAAGAAAACCCUGAUCCAGAAGAAUGUGCUUACAACAGGCAAUGCAGAAUCACCUGGUUAAUAUUAAAUGUGAACUUCAGAGAAGUGGAACUAAAUUUCUUUAGCAGUUUAUAAUUUCUUUGUAUGUAAAAUUGUAAAAGUUUUCCUACCAAACAAUACUGAAAAUUUAUUUGCAAAAGAGAAUGCUGCUCUACAACUUUUACACUUGUGGGCUGGGAUUAAAAUAGAUCAAGUGCUGGCAGGUUUUGCUUAUUUUCCUGGAAAUAAAGUUCCUUUUUUUUUAUACUAAGGGACAAACAUAGAUGAUCUUCCCCUUUACUAUCAUAUUGAUACCAAUGUUAAAAUCUGUAACAAUCAGAGUCUCAGCAGUAUUUAAUUUCCAAACAAGCUGAAACUGUGUGGCAGAUCUGGGAUAGCAGUAGGGAUGUAAUAGGAGAAGAGAAACCUCUCUCUCUCCUCCUGUGCCAGGCAGAAAGACAUGUGUUUAAUAUGACAGCAUAUGACAGAACUUAAGCUACGUCACUAAGCAUGCUAAUCUGUAUUUGCUAAUAGAGUUGGUACAGACAACAUUUUUCUUUUAUCUUUCAUUUUCAUAGUGUGGUUACAGAUUUGUUUUCACAACACUGAGUGAGGAUUAAAUUUACAACUUUCACGUUCCUUUUAAAUUGCAAAUCAUUAUAUGGAGAAAAAAGAAUAAAAGAAAAAGCAAUGUUGUCAGUUACUCAAAAAGUUACUGCCAGUUUAUGCUCUGUAGUGUCAUUUACUUAUUCAAACACUUGUCUGUUUUGAAAACAGUCUUGAGAGUCUGUAGCUGUGCUUUGAAAAGGAAAACUUAUCAGAGUAAGAUUAUCGCAGUUAACAUCAUUAGUCCUGACUGUGCGAUAACUUGCUUUUAAAGCGUAUGUCCAUAACAAUACAGUCUCCUGGUGUAUAUGAAAAUGGCAAUAAGAGUUUAGCUUUCAAGUAUUUAGUGUAUUGAAACCACCACAUGAAAAACUAUGAAUCCCUGGGAGUAAGUCAGCAUUUUAAAAGUUAGAAAUGUUUUUAUUAAUGCUGUCUAUGCAAAUUGCUUUGUUUCCAGGAAGCUCUUUAGGAAUGUGUAGGCACAAAGGCUGGGAAUCGAAGCUCUGGUUCAAGCAAUCAUCCUUGUUUAGAAAUGGUGCAAAAGCAUAUUCUUGGAUAAUUUGGUUAUUCAUGCUGAACUUGACCCUGCAUGUACAUGAAUACAGGAAGUAUCAAGGACUGUAACAUACACUUUUACAUAGCUAUUAUGCUUUCUAGGUGGGGAAAGUAACUCCCCCUCCUUGCACCAAUCAAACAAAUUUUUGCCCUUCAGUUUCUUAGAAACACUGCAUUUUAAUCAUGGCAAAUGAAAAAAUAUCUUCACCUGUGUUUAAAAUAAGCCUGAUUAUUGUCUGAUUCUAGUCAUCAUUACAAGAAAACUGAGCAUCCACUUUCAUCUACAUAGUUGUUAUUCAAUAUGCUAUUUUCUUUAAAUCUAAAGUAUUCUUUGUUCCAUUGCUUUCAGUUUAAUUAUAUCUAACCGUCUAUAGAUUAUGGAUUGGUUACCUGCACAAAUAUGAGGGCAGAUAUAAAUCUAAUUAUAUUUCAGAGAAAGUUUCUGAUUUGCAAACAGGGUCAUUUUAACUAAAUGCUAAUGAUACAGCUACAGUUGUGAGGCUGGAGGUAAUCGUAAUAGAUGAGUUUUUUAGUUCUUGUAAAUGAGACAUUAAAGGAUGAUGAAAAGCUAUGAGUCACUCUUCCUUAACUUUUAUUCCCAGUGGCUACACUUCUAAUAAUACUGGUGUGCAAAUAUAGGCAUGCUAAUGUAUGCACAGAAAUGAACACAGACCUCAGGCUGAAAUCAUGAUGAAAAAUCAAAAAAUUCAAGUUUGUGGUUCAGGAUUUAUAAAAGAUCUCUGCUUACGGCUACAACCCAGAUAAUUUUUUCUCCUGAAGUUACAAUGAAAGUAUGCGUAAAGGAAAAGCAAAAUAUACUAGUAAUUAAUAAUCUUCUGCCUAAA